CAAAUUCCCUGUUUCGAUGUCAAUUGUAGAAUAUAUAGAAAAGUAUGGAAGCUUGAGCAAUGGAGAGCAUAUUGAGGAUGUCACUGAAUCUUUGGCCGGUCGAGUCAUGAAGAAACGAUCUUCCUCUUCGAAGCUAUUCUUUUAUGAUUUGCAUGGUGGUGAUGUUAAGAUCCAAGUGAUGGCUGAUGCGAGCAAGUCAGGCAUGGAUGAAGCUCAAUUUUCAAGGUUCCACUCCAGUGUGAAGCGUGGUGAUGUUGUUGGUGUCAUUGGGUUUCCAGGAAAA
rnacentral:misc_RNA from 1 species